rnacentral:lncRNA from 1 species
ACAGUUUUCUCAUCUCAUUCUAUGAAUUCUGAGACUCUUUUUCUGUUAUAAAAAAUAUACUCUCCUAAAAAAUACAGCUGAAUUGAUAAAUUAGGAAAUUAUUGGGAGUAAAAAUAAUUAUAUUAAGUGGUAUGAGUUUUUUUUUGUGCUAUAGAUAAAUCAAGAGGGGAUCAGAGAAUUGAACACAAUUGUAUUUGAAUUUCUGCUCUGAUUCAAAUGGGUUUUGUGAACCUCUAUUAAUCUUUCUUAGCAUAGGUUCUUCAUCUCUAAAAUGGAGAUUGUAAAAAUCUUAAUUUUUUUCCCCCAGUAAGUAGCAAGAGUGGGUAUUCCCUUGGGCGGCUGUGUUUUACUCUCACAACCUCACAGGGAUUUAGUUAAUGUAAUGAAUGGACUUUGUUUAAAAUUACCUAAGUGUUCAGUUAGCUAAUUGUACAGGCAAUAAACAUUGCUUUAUCUUUUUUACAUAAUGUCUGCAUGAACCUGGCAGGUAAGUAUAACAACUGUUGGUUUCCAUUUAUAAAUUUAAGUAAAGCCUAUGCAACUAAUUAUUACUCUUAAAAACUUGUCUAUUAUAAACCUUACUAGACUUAGCCUAGGACUAUUUUUAAUAUGUGAAUCACUUAAAGCCAAGGAUCCUAUCUCUACUUGCUUUUCUUUCUUGUAUACCUGUAAUAAAUAAGCAGGUCUUUAAGAUGUAACUUCAUUAAAAACACAUGUGCUCCUCUGCAACUGGGACAAAUGGAAAAAGUCAUCACCUCAAGAAAUGGAUAAUUCCCCAAACUGCCAAUUUGGAUAGAAUGGCCAUAAUCAAGCAGCCCAAGAAGUGGGAGGAAUAUUCACAAAGGAACAUUUCAACAAGUCACUUCUUUAUUUUAGUGUGGUUUUAAAUUUCAGUGGGUGGUAUAUAGCCCUUUUUAAUUGAGUAACAGACAUAUAGCACCUGGUUCUUAAGUUAUAAGAUACUUAAAAAGUAGGGGAAGUAACAGUAAAAUUCAAUGCAUCAUGAGUCUAGUAAAAGCUGAGCUCAACAAAAACUAGCCUAAAAACACAGUAUGUGCCUUUAAUUAGAAACCAUAUACUUUGUUGGCAUUCACAGUCAUUUCCUAGCUGUGCUCAUAAAGAACUUCCAUGCUUUCUUCAUAACACAGACAAUCACAGCCAUCUGUCUCUUAAUCAUCUCUUUGAAACUAUUUUGAUGUUCCAGGGGAUAAUUAAGUUUUGGUGGUCAUUAGUGCAUUUCAAUUUUGUUUAAUAUAGGAAACAUGACAUUCAGUAUAAAGGAGAAAACCAUAUGGAAUUUUGUGAUAAUAUCUAUAUAACUUCUAAUAAAAUAAGAUCAUUAUGCUCUUUUGUAUAUUUCAUUGUUCUUUCUGCUCUAGAAAUCUUUUUUUUUAAUACGUUUAUUAUUUCUUGCUAUUCUAGACUUUAAUUGUAGUAAUACAAAACAAAACAAAAACAAAAAGGAUCCAAAAUACCCCUCAAAAUGAAGAUAUUUUGUCAUCCUAGUUAUUAACCUUGUUCUUCUGUACCCCUAUAUUUCUGACUUACAAGAAUAAUAACAUAGGGAUAGACCAACAGUACAAAGCAUAUUGCAUCACUCUGGUUAUUCAGGUUACAAGCUGGUUGGACUAAGAUGCUGGUUGUUGAAUUUCUUCUCUCCUUGCUCAUUACACAAAGGGAAUGUCCAUGGGAUUCUUGAGGGGGUUUAGUGGCAUCUGAAAACCCUUAAAAUUCCAGGCAUACUUUUGUUUAUAGGAAAAGGCUAUAUUUUUCAUUAAAAUUUUAAACAAGAUUCAAAACUCCUGUCUUGGGAUUUUUUUGAGAAUAUUAUAUUGUAACUAACUCAGAUUGUACAGACUCAGGAAGGGAAUUAAUGGAAUUAAUGAGAUACUCAGGAAUGGAAUUAAUGAGUUGUCUUUUUCUGUUCUGGGAGAGGGAAAAAGGGCAGCAGAAACAAGGAAAGAACCUACAUCAAACCUAAAAUAAAAACAUGGGUGAUUAUUUGGAAGAUUUGGAUUUUCCUUUUGAUUCAACCUCUAAGAAGCUCUCUGAAUUUGGACACAUCAAUUAUUCUCUCUUGGCCUCAGAUUCCUUAUCUCUAAGCAGAGUAUUUUGGGUUACACCAGCAAUGCUCAAAGCAUGUUCUGUGAAAAAUCCUGCGGGUUCUGGAAAAGUAUUUGAGUGACUCUCCAAAGAUGAAAGACUAGUGCAAAAAAGUUCAGUUAGCUCAUGCAUCCUAAAGGGAAAUGUUGAGGUAGGAGAUGGCCGGUGAGUAUAGAGAUUUACUUCCUCAAGACAACAGCUUUAAGUUAGAUAGUUCCUUUGGAUUUCCAUGUCUUUCCUUUUUAGAGAGGUUGAAGCUGUUCAAACUUUUAUAAUAUUUUACCUAUGGUAUGGUAGUUAUUGGUUUACAAUUUUUUCCUCCGCUGUAUUGUAAGUAACUCAGGAGAGGCAUUAUUUCUUGCUCAUCUCUAGAACCAAGAAAAUGGUUGAUAUAUGGAAGGAGAAAGAUAAGCAAAAAAAGGUAAAGGAAAAUAAUAUGUGGCAGUAUGGAAGAUGGACUAAAUGACAGAUAAAAGAUAAGCGGAACUAUUGGGAUUAUUAUGCAAUAAUAAUCCAUGUGGUGGGAUAGAGAAUUGGGGUUAUUUAAACUUGAGAGAUAUUUAAGAAGUAGAAUGAUGGAGUUCUCUUGUGGCACAGCAGGUUAAGGAUCUGUCGUCACUGCAGUGGCCUGGGUCAUUGCUGUGGCCUGGGUUCAACCCCUGGCCCAAGAACUUCCAUGUGCUGUGGGCAUGGCAAAAAAAAAAAAAAAAAAA